rnacentral:rRNA from 1 species
UACGAAGGGGGCUAGCGUUGUUCGGAAUUACUGGGCGUAAAGCGCACGUAGGCGGAUAUUUAAGUCAGGGGUGAAAUCCCGGGGCUCAACCCCGGAACUGCCUUUGAUACUGGGUAUCUCGAGUCCGAGAGAGGUGAGUGGAAUUCCGAGUGUAGAGGUGAAAUUCGUAGAUAUUCGCAAGAACACCAGUGGCGAAGGCGGCUCACUGGCCCGGUACUGACACUGAGGUGCGAAAGCGUGGGGAGCAAACAGG